rnacentral:rRNA from 1 species
AGGCAGCAGUUGGGAAUCUUCCGCAAUGGACGAAAGUCUGACGGAGCAACGCCGCGUGAGCGAAGAAGGCCUUCGGGUCGUAAAGCUCUGUUGUUAGGGAAGAACAAGUAACGCAGUAACUGGCGUUACCGUGACGGUACCUAACGAGAAAGCCACGGCUAACUACGUGCCAGCAGCCGCGGUAAUACGUAGGUGGCAAGCGUUGUCCGGAAUUAUUGGGCGUAAAGCGCGCGCAGGCGGUUCCUUAAGUCUGAUGUGAAAGCCCACGGCUCAACCGUGGAGGGUCAUUGGAAACUGGGGGACUUGAGUGCAGAAGAGGAGAGCGGAAUUCCACGUGUAGCGGUGAAAUGCGUAGAGAUGUGGAGGAACACCAGUGGCGAAGGCGGCUCUCUGGUCUGUAACUGACGCUGAGGCGCGAAAGCGUGGGGAGCAAACAGGAUUAGAUACCCUAGUAGUCC